GAUCCUGGCUCAGAGUGAACGCUGGCGGUAGGCCUAACACAUGCAAGUCGAACGGCAGCACAGUAAGAGCUUGCUCUUAUGGGUGGCGAGUGGCGGACGGGUGAGGAAUACAUCGGAAUCUACCUUUUCGUGGGGGAUAACGUAGGGAAACUUACGCUAAUACCGCAUACGACCUCGGUGAAGCAGGGACCGUCGGCCGUGUCGCGGAGUAGAUGAGCCGAGUGUCGGAGUUAGCUAGUUGGUCGGGGUAAACGGG
rnacentral:rRNA from 1 species